UACGUAGGGUGCAAGCGUUGUCCGGAAUUAUUGGGCGUAAAGAGCUCGUAGGCGGUCUGUCGCGUCGGACGUGAAAAUCCAGGGCUCAACCCUGGACCUGCGUUCGAUACGGGCAGACUAGAGUUCGGUAGGGGAGACUGGAAUUCCUGGUGUAGCGGUGAAAUGCGCAGAUAUCAGGAGGAACACCGGUGGCGAAGGCGGGUCUCUGGGCCGAAACUGACGCUGAGGCGCGAAAGCCAGGGGAGCAAACAGG
rnacentral:rRNA from 1 species